UUAAGUUCAGCGGGUAUCCCUACCUGAUCCGAGGUCAACCUGAGGAGAGUUUAACGGCGUGACCGCCCAUCUCGCCAGCGAAUUGAUUUACCACAACGCUGAGAUCUGGGUCGUCCAGUCGGCAGACAUUCGGGCCCGGGUGAAGCCCCGGGGCCCAAUACCAAGCCAGGCUUGAGUGGUGUAAUGACGCUCGAACAGGC
rnacentral:misc_RNA from 1 species